AUUGAACGCUGGCGGCAGGCCUAACACAUGCAAGUCGAGCGGACGAAGGGAGCUUGCUCCUGGAUUCAGCGGCGGACGGGUGAGUAAUGCCUAGGAAUCUGCCUGGUAGUGGGGGAUAACGUCCGGAAACGGGCGCUAAUACCGCAUACGUCCUGAGGGAGAAGGUGGGGGAUCUUCGGACCUCACGCUAUCAGAUGAGCCUAGGUCGGAUUAGCUAGUUGGUGGGGUAAAGGCCUACCAAGGCGACGAUCCGUAACUGGUCUGAGAGGAUGAUCAGUCACACUGGAACUGAGACACGGUCCAGACUCCUACGGGAGGCAGCAGUGGGGAAUAUUGGACAAUGGGCGAAAGCCUGAUCCAGCCAUGCCGCGUGUGUGAAGAAGGUCUUCGGAUUGUAAAGCACUUUAAGUUGGGAGGAAGGGCAGUAAGUUAAUACCUUGCUGUUUUGACGUUACCAACAGAAUAAGCACCGGCUAACUUCGUG
rnacentral:rRNA from 1 species